GCAUUGGUGGUUCAGUGGUAGAAUUCUCACUUUCCAUGCAGGAGACACGGGUUUGAUUCCUGGCCAGUGCA
rnacentral:tRNA from 1 species